rnacentral:lncRNA from 1 species
CCCCCCUCACAUUUCCCACCAUUUUCCCCCUCUCAUUUCCCACUCUUUUCCCCUCACAUUUCCUUUUUUUUUCCCCUCUCAAAUUUCCCACAAUUUUUCCCUUCAGGUUUCCCACCCUCUUCCCACUCCCUCACAUUUCCCCCCUUUUCUCCCCUCACAUUUUGGGCCCUUUUCUCCUCAUAUUUCUUCCUCAUCCCCCCCUCACAUUUCCCACCAUUUUCCCCUCUCAUUUCCCACUCUUGUCCCCUCAUGUUUCUUUUUUUUUUCGCCCCCAUCACAUUUCCCACCUUUUCCACUUCGUGUUUGCUUCUCUUCUCCCUUCACGUUCCUGGCUCUGUAUCCACUCGUGGUUCUUGCCUUUUCUCCCAUUUCUCUUCAUUUUCUCCCCUCACGUUUUUCCCCCUUUUCCCCCUCACAUUUCUUCCUCUUUUUCCCCCUCAAAUUUCCCACCAUUUCCCCCCUCUCAUUUCCCACUCUUUUCCUCUCACAUUUCCGUUUUUUCCCCCCUCACAUUUCCUGCCCUUUUCUCCUCAUAUUUCUUCUUUUCCCCUCACAUUUCCUUUUUUUUUGCUCCCAUCACAUUUCCCACCCUUUCUCCCCUCACGUUUCCUUUUUUCCCCCCUUAAAUUUCCCACCACUUUCCCCCUCACAUUUCUCACCCUUCUUCCCUUCACCUUUCCUGCCAUUUUCCCCUCACAUUUCUUCCCCUUUCCCCCCUCACAUUUCCCACCAUUUUCCCCCUCUCAUUUCCCACUCUUUUCCCCUCACGUUUCCUUUUUUGUUGCCCCCAUCACAUUUCCCACCCUUUUCCCUUCAUAUUUCCCCUUUUCUCCCCUCACAUUUUGGGCCCUUUUCCCCCCCUCACAUUUCCCACCCUUUCCCCCUCACAUUUCCCACCUUUUUUCCCCUCACAUUUCCCACCAAUUCUUCCCUCAUGCCCUUUUCCCCCCCUCACAUUUCCCACCCUUUCCCCCCCUCAAAUUUCUCACCAUUUUCUCCCCUCACCUUUCCCUCCCUUUCGUCUCCUCACGUUUCAGACCAUUUCCC